ensembl:misc_RNA Metazoa_SRP Metazoan signal recognition particle RNA
GCCAGGCACGGUGGCACAUGCCUAUAGUCCCAGCUACUAGGGAGGCUGAGGCUAAAGGAUUGCUUGAGUUCAGGAGUUUUGGGCUGUAGUGCACUAUGCUGAUCCGGUGUCUGUACUAAGUUCGGCAUCAUUAUGGUGACCUCCUGGGAGCUGGGGACCACCAGGUUGCCUAAGGAGGAAUGAACUGGCCCAGGUGGGAAACGGAGCAGGUCAGAACUCCCAGGCUCAUCAGUAGUGGGAUCUCGCCUGUGAAUAGCCACUGCACUCCAGCCUGGGCAACAUAGUGAGACCCCAUCUCUA